CCUACGGGCGGCAGCAGUGAGGAAUAUUGGUCAAUGGGCGGAAGCCUGAACCAGCCAAGUCGCGUGAGGGAAUAAGGCCCUACGGGUCGUAAACCUCUUUUGCCGGGGAGCAAGGGCGGGGACGUGUCCCGGCCCGGAGAGUACCCGGAGAAAAAGCAUCGGCUAACCCCUUGCCAGCAGCCGCGGUAAUACGGAGGAUGCGAGCGUUAUCCGGAUUUAUUGGGUUUAAAGGGUGCGUAGGCGGAAUAUCAAGUCAGCGGUAAAAAUUCGGGGCGAAACCCCGUAGUGCCGUUGAAACUGGUGUUCUUGAGUGGGGGAGAGGUAUGCGGAAUGCGUGGUGUAGCGGUGAAAUGCAUAGAUAUCACGCAGAACUCCGAUUGCGAAGGCAGCAUACCGG
rnacentral:rRNA from 1 species